rnacentral:rRNA from 1 species
GACGAACGCUGGCGGCGUGCUUAACACAUGCAAGUCGAACGGAAAGGCCCUGCUUUUGUGGGGUGCUCGAGUGGCGAACGGGUGAGUAACACGUGAGUAACCUGCCCUAGACUUUGGGAUAACUUAAGGAAACUAGGGCUAAUACCGGAUAGGAGCUCCUGCUGCAUGGUGGGGGUUGGAAAGUUUCGGCGGGUGGGGAUGGACUGGCGGCUUAUCAGCUUGUUGGUGGGGUAGUGGCUUACCAAGGCUUUGACGGGUAGCCGGCCUGGGAGGGUGACCGGCCACAAUAGGACUGAGAGACGGACCAGACGCCUACGGGAGGCAGCAGUGGGGAAUAUUGCACAAUGGGAGGAAGCCUGAUGCAGCAACGCCGCGUGCGGGAUGACGGCCUUCGGGUUGAAAACCGCUUUCGCCUGUGACGAAGCGUGAGUGACGGUAAUGGGUAAAGAAGCACCGGCUAACUACGUG